AGAGUUUGAUCCUGGCUCAGGAUGAACGCUAGCGGCAGGCCUAACACAUGCAAGUCGAGGGGUAUAAGUAGCAAUACUUCGAGACCGGCGCACGGGUGAGUAACGCGUAUGCAACCUACCUUAUACUGAGGGAUAGCUCAGGGAAACCUGAAUUAAUACCUCAUAAAGCAGGGGUACCACCUGGUACUAUUUGCUAAAGAUUUAUCGGUAUGAGAUGGGCAUGCGUGCCAUUAGCUAGUUGGUAGGGUAACGGCCUACCAAGGCGACGAUGGCUAGGGGGUCUGAGAGGAUGAUCCCCCACACUGGUACUGAGACACGGACCAGACUCCUACGGGAGGCAGCAGUGAGGAAUAUUGGUCAAUGGGGGCAACCCUGAACCAGCCAUGCCGCGUGAAGGAUGACUGCCCUAAGGGUUGUAAACUUCUUUUAUACAGGGGUAAUUUUCGGUUUGCGAACCGGAUUGAAAGUACUGUAUGAAUAAGCGUCGGCUAACUACGUGCCAGCAGCCGCGGUAAUACGUAGGACGCAAGCGUUAUCCGGAUUUAUUGGGUUUAAAGGGUGCGUAGGCGGAUUUAUAAGUCAGUGGUGAAAUAUUGUCGCUUAACGAUAAGAUUGCCAUUGAUACUGUAAAUCUUGAGCACAAUUGAGGUAGGCGGAAUGUGUAGUGUAGCGGUGAAAUGCUUAGAUAUUACACAGAACACCGAUUGCGAAGGCAGCUUACUAAAUUGUUACUGACGCUGAGGCACGAAAGCGUGGGGAUCAAACAGGAUUAGAUACCCUGGUAGUCCACGCCGUAAACGAUGAUCACUGGUUGUUAGCGAUACACUGUUAGCGACUGAGCGAAAGCAUUAAGUGAUCCACCUGGGGAGUACGUCGGCAACGAUGAAACUCAAAGGAAUUGACGGGGGCCCGCACAAGCGGAGGAACAUGUGGUUUAAUUCGAUGAUACGCGAGGAACCUUACCUGGGCUCGAACGUGAGAGGAAUUAUGUUGAAAGAUGUAAGCUAGCAAUAGCCUCUUACGAGGUGCUGCAUGGUUGUCGUCAGCUCGUGCCGUGAGGUGUCGGCUUAAGUGCCAUAACGAGCGCAACCCUUAUUGUUAGUUGCCAGCGGGUUAAGCCGGGGACUCUAACAAAACUGCCAGCGUAAGCUGUGAGGAAGGUGGGGAUGACGUCAAAUCAGCACGGCCCUUACGUCCAGGGCUACACACGUGUUACAAUGGUCGGUACAGAGGGCAGCUACUCCGCGAGGAGAUGCUAAUCUCAAAAACCGAUCUCAGUUCGGAUUGGAGUCUGCAACUCGACUCCAUGAAGUUGGAUUCGCUAGUAAUCGCGCAUCAGCCAUGGCGCGGUGAAUACGUUCCCGGGCCUUGUACACACCGCCCGUCAAGCCAUGGAAGCCGGGGGUAUCUGAAGUACGUGACCGCAAGGAGCGUCCUAGGGUAAAACUGGUAACUGGGGCUAAGUCGUAACAAGGUA
rnacentral:rRNA from 1 species